UCAACAUUUCGGUCGGAGCCCGACCUUUUUCAAAACUUUUUUCAUGUCUUGAAAAAGGUCGGGCUCCGACCGAAACGUUGA
rnacentral:pre_miRNA from 1 species